rnacentral:rRNA from 1 species
UACGAAGGGGGCUAGCGUUGCUCGGAAUCACUGGGCGUAAAGCGCACGUAGGCGGAUUGUUAAGUCAGGGGUGAAAUCCUGGAGCUCAACUCCAGAACUGCCUUUGAUACUGGCGAUCUUGAGUCCGGGAGAGGUGAGUGGAACUGCGAGUGUAGAGGUGAAAUUCGUAGAUAUCGCAAGAACACCAGUGGCGAAGGCGGCUCACUGGCCCGGUACUGACGCUGAGGUGCGAAAGCGUGGGGAGCAAACAGGGAUUAAGA